CACCGCAUUCAGAUCCGUAGGACAACCCGUGCUUUUACACUUUCCAGAGUUACUUAACGGAAUCACAUCCAUCGGGACGUUAUAACCGUCAACUAAGCUUACAUCAUAAAAGUCUUGAUUGUUGAAACUGUUUAUUGAGAACUCCGCUAGCGUCACAGGCGGCGAUCCACUACGGCCGCCGCAUGCUAUUUUUCCGGAUCCACAGUCGCCUGUGACGCAGGAGAAGUUUCCGGAGGCGGAAUCCGUCGUACAGAGAGUCCGGCCCCAGAAACGGCCGUUCCAAUUAGCCGGUGCUGUGACGGUGGAAUUCUCACCGGAUUGUAAAACGAAACCGGUGGUUGCAAGUGGUGCGCUUCCACUGGUGUUAUAUGAAGCUGGCCAUACUGUGUAGUUGCAUUGGUUAACUAUAGUGAACUUUGCUGAAAUUACAACUGCAAAAACAGAAAGUGAUAGAUGAAGUGUGAAGAAGAACAAAAAUGAAGUUGGCUCAACCAUAUGGAAGUUAAAAUUGAAACGAAGAAGAAAACGGAGGAGUCAGAAAAAAUAGCUCAACCAUAUCCAAGUUUUUUGUUCUUAUGCUUCUAUGGUCUGGAAGAGUACCUGUUUGGGAAGGGACUGAAAUCAAUUUACGCGUUUGAUUUAUGACUUUUCCACGUAAUUGCUCGUGUUGACCAAUUGGUCGUAACAAGGAUUAUCAUGACUUGAAGUGUCUAACUUGAAGAAUUUGGUUCCUCUCAACUAAGCGCCGAAUAAAGUGAGUAAAAUAUACAUAUUAUAUUUAAUGUUAGCUAUUCAUCUAUUAUUUAAUUGUUUAUAUUUUAGAUGAGUUUGAUUCUAACUUUAAUCGAUUCAUUUGACUAUUACUUGUGCUUAUUGUUGCACAAACUCCACUGAUAACGUACCAUUUUUGUUUUA